rnacentral:lncRNA from 1 species
AUGCUCAGUUACUCCCUGUUUCCAGAGUAGAAGAGGAAAAGAGCUUUACCUAGAGCAAGAAAAUAGAAAAGGCUUUUUAGCACUGAGAAGUGUUCAUUCCUGAGAAAAGAAAGACAAAGAAUGGCUUAAUCACUGACUGUCAAAUAAAUGAAGGCCUAUCAACUGGAGAGAAACUGUUAGAUAAAAGAGAGAGAGAACUAAAACAAAAGAUCUACCCUAGAAGGAAGCACCAUUUUGAUUCUAAAGAUUGUGGGAGUCUCUUGGGCUCAUUGUUCUUGAAAAACUAUCUGUGGCAGUUCUUUGAGGCCUGGGAUUAAAAGGUGUUUCUCCAAGGAGAACUUGUUAGUGAUCUGCCUGGUGCCUAUACCAAAUUUUGGAGGUUCCCUGGAGUACUCAACCUGCAAAUCAUCUCAGAGGACCCAGCUCAGCUUCAGGAAGCCUCCCCAGGCCCAAAGACUGGGUUAGAGCUUCUCCCUCCUGGUGCAAUGCUUCAUU